rnacentral:rRNA from 1 species
AUACAGAGGGUGCAAGCGUUAUUCGGAAUUACUGGGCGUAAAGCGCGCGUAGGCGGAUGAUUAAGUCAGUUGUGAAAGCCCUGGGCUCAACCUAGGAACUGCAUCUGAUACUGGUCGUCUAGAGUUUAAGAGAGGGAAGUGGAAUUCCAGGUGUAGCAGUGAAAUGCGUAGAUAUCUGGAGGAACAUCAGUGGCGAAGGCGACUUCCUGGCUUAAAACUGACGCUGAGGUGCGAAAGCGGGGGUAGCGAACGGGAUUAGAAACCCUAGUAGUCC